rnacentral:lncRNA from 1 species
GCAGGAACCAACAUCCGAAACACACUCUCUCCAGGCCAUCCAGGCCACUUUUUUUCAGUGCUUCCAACUGCCAAAUUCACCUCAUUUUCUUGUUUUUCUUGAAGCUGUGAGUCCUCAGGUACUAUAUCCUCUGGUACUUGAUCCUCAGGUACAUGAUCCUCAGGGACUUGAUCCUCAGGUACAUGAUCCUCAGGGACUUGAUCCUCAGUUAGUUGAUCCUCAGUUACUUGUUCCUUGGUUACUUGACUCUCGGGUACUUGCUCCUGGGGAACUUGCUCCUGAGGUACUUCGGGUACUUCAUAUUCAGGCACUUCAUACCCAGGAACUUGAUUUUCAACUUCUUGAUUCUCAGGUAUUUGCUCCAAGUCAUGGUUCCCGUCAUGUUCAACAAAUCCC